UGGCAGACGGCUGAGUAAUACAUGGGAAUCUACCUCAAACUCGAGAAUAGCCCAUCGAAAGGUGGUGUAAUACUCGAUAGUUCCGUUUACGGUAAAGCUCCGGCGGUUUGAGAUGAGCCCAUGUCCUAUCAGGUUGUUGGUGGGGUAAUUGCCUACCAAGCCUAUGACGGGUAGCUGGUUUGAGAGGAUGAUCAGCCAGACUGGGACUGCGAUACGGCCCAGACUCCUACGGGAGGCAGCAACUAGGAAUCAUGCGCAAUGGACGAAAGUCUGACGCUGCGACGUCGCGUGAGGGAUGAAGGUCUUCGGAUCGUAAACCUCUUUUAUCUGGGAACAAGUUCUGAGUGUACCAGAUGAAUAAGUGCCUGCCAACCACGUGCCAGAAGCAUCGGUAAUGCGUGGGGCACGAGCGUUAUCCGGAUUUACUGGGCGUAAAGAGAUGCGUAGGCGCCUUUUUAAGUCACUUGUAAAGUCUCCCCGCUCAACGGGGAAACUGCAAGUGAUACUGAAUUGGUUGAGUCAAGUAGAGGAGAGGGGAAUUCCUGGUGGAGCGGUUAAAUGCGUUGAUAUCAGGAGGAAUACCAAGUGCGAAGGCACCUCUCUGGACUUGUACUGACGCUAAGGCUCGAAAGUGUGGGGAGCAAAACGGAUUAGAUACCCGUGUAGUCCACACUGUAAACGAUCCCUGCUAGAUGUUUGC
rnacentral:rRNA from 1 species